GCGCUAAGCCCGGCAGAGCCCGCCUCAGCACAGGAAGCAGCCGCUGCCGCAUACCCCGGCCCCGCCGCCAGCACCCGGCCUCUCCCCGCCACUGCCGCCCGCCCCGGCCCGGCUCCGCUCGCCUCAGCACGCGCCGCUCCUCGGCGCCGCGGCCGCCGGNNNNNNNNNNNNNNNNNNNNNNNNNNNNNNNNNNNGGGGGGGGGGGGGGGGCCGGGGAGCUGCGCCCGGAGGAGGCGGACGGGGCUGCGGCGGGAAGGACUCUGGGGCGGCCCCGCCGCCGCGGGGCUGGGUCGCGCCCGCCAAGGGCCCGUGUUGCGGCCCGGCGCGGCGGGAGCGGCCCGCCCGCUUCCUGGUGGACGGGCUCCGCGUCCCUGCCGGCGAGAGCCAAGACAAAAGAUGUAAAGGAUGUCAUCCAGCUGCAUGCCUUAAUCUGAAAAUAGAAAAGAACAAACAGGCAGAAAUUAGGAGAAAAGACAUCUUGUGUUCCAGUGCUGCCUUCUUUUGUAUGACCUGUAAGAAGGAGUAUAGAGCAAAAGACCUGUUAUCCUGUUACAGAUCUCCACCUAGCAAAGCUUUUAAUACCGUCUCAAAGGAAGCUCUCACAGGGAAGCUAGGGUGACAUAAAUUACACUGCUGGUCAGAGGAUGAAAGCUUGUGCUUGAAAAUGUGGACUAACUGGAGAGCUGGCAGGGAUGGAAUGGAUGGCCCGAGGGCGUGACCUGCGAGGGAAGAUUACACAGAUGAUGUGAAUCCUGAAGAAGAACUGAGGCGCGAAGUCUGGAUGCCCUCGAGUACGUGGCCGUUCAGCGGCAGCUGCGAAGGCGGCAGCAGGUUUCCCAGCAGCCCCCGCGUGAGCGCGCGCGGUCGUGGUGGCAACAAACAGCCGCCCGGCGGGUUCGAGUUUGACAUCGGGUAACGCGUCACCGCGCCCGGCAGCACCAGCCCUCGGCGGACCAGGGCGGCCGCCGUAACGCCAACGCGCCGUCCCGGAGCGCGGGACCCGCCUCCGCCCCCCGUCCCG
rnacentral:lncRNA from 1 species